UACGGAGGGGGUUAGCGUUGUUCGGAAUUACUGGGCGUAAAGCGCGCGUAGGCGGAUUGGAAAGUUGGGGGUGAAAUCCCGGGGCUCAACCCCCGGAACUGCCUCCAAAACUUCCAGUCUGGAGUUCGAGAGAGGUGAGUGGAACUCCGAGUGUAGAGGUGAAAUUCGUAGAUAUUCGGAAGAAACACCAGUGGCGAAGGCGGCUCACUGGCUCGGUACUGACGCUGAGGUGCGAAAGCGUGGGGAGCAAACAGGAUUAGAUACCCCCCGUAGU
rnacentral:rRNA from 1 species